ensembl:misc_RNA Metazoa_SRP Metazoan signal recognition particle RNA
GCCAGGUGCGGUGGCGGAUGCCUGUAGUCCCAGCUACUCGGGAGGCUGAGGUGGGAGGAUCGCUUGAGCCCAGGAGUUCUGGGCUGUAGUGCGCUGUCCUGAUUAGAUGUCUGCACUAAGUUUGGCAUCAAUAUGGUGACCUCCUGGGAGCAGGGGACCACCAGGUUGCCUAAGGAGGGGUGAACUGGCCCAGAUCGGAAACGGAGCAGGUGAAAACUCCCAUGCUGAUCAGUAGUGGGACCACGCCUGUGAAUAGCCACUGCACUCCAGCCUGGGCAACAUAGAGAGACCCUGUCUCUA